GCUCAGGCCAGUUGACAUGGAGGACAAGAGGGCCUUGUGUGAACCACUGCCCCUUCCCGCUGAAGUAGCAGGAGGUGAAUCUCAGGAGUCUCUCCGAGAUGUGGAAAGAAUUAGGUCAGAGGUUGAAACACAAGCCAAGACUAUUGAUUCCCUGUGCCAAACUCUGUCCAUGCAAGAGGCAGAGAGAACCCAGAAUCUCAAUACCAUGGCAGUCCUUCAAUCCCAGCACUUUUGAGGGCCUAGGCUGUGAGGUCUCCACUGAGCUCCACUACCUGCGCACUCUCCUGUCCCACUCUCCCUGCUCCUGUCCUACUCUCCAAGCCUCAUGCUCCAGCACUCACCCCUCAGAUAUCCAGAGGCAGGCUGCCAUCAACCACAUCUCUCAGGAACUCUACCACAGGUAGAUCUGGAUAAGUCAGUCUGGAGUGUGGUGUGGUGGGGAUACUUUGGUGAACUACACUUGCAUGAUGAUAAGCAGACUUUAGCUCAGUGGGAUAAUGCAGUAAUAACAUGUAAUUCCCUCUCCAUAUUUGUCUGUGUAUGUUGUCUGUUUCUUCAGUCGAAGAGUCCUGUGGGAGCAGAUUGCUGAGCUAAGGGAGGAAGUCCACAACUUUCAUGGCCUGUUUAGCAAGUUUGAUUUUAUGUUUUUCAGAACAAGACCCCCUUCCAUGAUGUUGUUCUAAUGGAGGCUUUUUAUAAACCUUACUCAAGUUUUCCUUUCCUUUUUAGAAAAACUAAGAGACGAAACUAUGCGCAGAUUGACAGAGAAAUACUGCAAAUAUUAUAAGAGCUCAGAGCUCAGAGCUCACAUUUCUCUCCCCCAAAUCACUUUGACAUGAAUGAUUUCACUCAUCAAACAAAUUAUACAAACUUUACACUUGAAACAAUCUUCUGAACUAUACAUGGGUUAUAAUGAUUUGGACUGCUGAAGCUUAUCUCAUGUUAUGUGACAUGUUCUGGAAUAUAUAUCUCCAUUUUCAGUGCUUGGAGAGGAUGAUUGACAGCUAUUAGAUGAAGGAUGACAUACUCAAACUGCAGAGGCCUCAGGAAAUGCUCAGGUCAAAUUUAAGGUCAGAUGUUUCUGAGUUACAGAAUAAGCUUCAAACUAUAACAAUAUCGAAAGGCAAGGCUCCCAAUAAAACGGGCCUAACUGAACGAAUAGGACAGAGGGUUAUGCCAGCCGAUUCAGAUUCAGGCAAAGUGGAACGUGCCAAAGGAAUGACACCAAAGAUCAAAGUGGAAAUCAAUGUGUCUGCCAGAAGGAAAUAAAGUUCAUAGCUGGAAUCCUCAAUCUAUCUUUUGGCCUACCUUGUCUCACUGCCAAAUAAAAUAAAACGAGUUCUACACUGACAA